GGGAAGACCAGAUUGCUGGAGAGAAUUUUCUUGCAUUUGAACUUCAGUCCCAUUUAUGUUGUAAAACGGGCUGCCAUGGCCCAAACCCUAAGUGUGUGUGUUGGGGGCAUCCUCCUGGACCAAUUAAGUCUAAGAUGCUACGGGCUGUUCUCUGUUCCCCUGGUGUUGUGGUGGAUGUGGCUUCAACCUCCAUGUAACACCUCCUGAGAGCCUGCUGCUGUGCUUGCCUUCUCAGCCAGUGCAGCCUGUUACAUUUAGGAGUGAAGCAUUUCUGUCCACCAGAGCCUGUAUGUAGAGUCACCAUAUGUGGCACUAGGUGACCUGCACCAGCAUUUCUGGCUACAGGCGGAUGGAAAAAGAUGCAGUCAGAGACCUUCUUUCCCUGAAGAUCAAACAGACUGAAAUACGGUAAUCUGAAUUCCUGUUGCCUUAAAUAAAU
ensembl:lncRNA